ACUUCGACAGCUUAAGGGUCAUGGUUGUGUUCGGCCUAUGCAGUCAGCUGCCCAAGGAGACAUCCCCAGUUCACCGAAAGAGUUAGAUGUGAGUUGUCAUGGAAACGAGGUCAAACAGUAGUAAGAAAAGUUAAUGGAAGCCAUUCGAAAAGGCGAAUACGUACUGACUAAACCAAGAACUUCAUACAUGCAAUGGUGGAUUAUUCACUGCAUAUGAAGCAAUCCAGGUUAUGGACCAGUCAACCUGCAAAAAGAACGAAGCUUUUGGACCAUUCUGCAACGGAUCUCAAGUUACCCGAUGAUGUGCAAGGCAAGGAAACUGUAUGAAUCUGCCAUUUAUCUUGAACCUGAAAU